rnacentral:lncRNA from 1 species
GCAGGGAGGAACAGGAAAUGCUACCAAAAAAGCAAACUAGAGUGGGUUUAUUUGGGAAUCAAAGCCUCAAAGGACAGGAAGAAGAAAAUCAGUGAUGUUCAAGCCAAAGGAAGAGUUAAAUCAGAGAAGAAUGUAAUUUACCAGGGUGGAAUGAAAGAUGUUAGAGGAAGUUUCCAGGCUCCUGAGAGAGUAGAAGAAAGGACGGAGAAGUCCCUGACACCCAGGGCCUCAGCAGGUCAUGAUGGAACUAUUAUAGGGUCAAGGGACAGCCAGGGCUGGGUGGGGCCACGAAGAAGGUUGCAAGGCUGCAAGGCUGAAGCCUGGAGCGGCUGGGGAGGUUGGGGAGACAGCAAGAGGUUUGGGGUUCUCAGGAGGGAGGAACUGAACUCAGCUGGGGGCUGCCUGCUGAAGCGCCGAGGGCGGGGAGCGGGGCGCCUAGAAAUAAGGAUGGGGAGUCUAGGUGCGGAGGGUGCUUCUAGAAGAAAGGGGAUGAGUGAGGUGAUGGAAGGUGAGGAUGAAGGAGGGGCUGUGGCAGAAAGUGAGGACCGAGAUGUGGGGGACAGAGGGGAACUAGAUGAUGAGGAUGUAGGCGGAGGAGGUGAUGGAGACGCUGAGGAGGAUUUGCGUGAUCAGACGCUACAGAAUGAAUCUUGGCGGAGGGGUCCCUGCUGGGGCUCAAAGGGAACCACGUGUCGACAGGCACAACCUUCAGCUUCCUGA